UCAAAUUUGAAAUCUAGUACCUUCGGUGCUCGAGUUGUAAUUUGUAGAGGGAUACUUUGGGGCCGUUCCUUGUCUAUGUUCCUUGGAACAGGACGUCAUAGAGGGUGAGAAUCCCGUGUGGCGAGGAGUGCGGUUCUAUGUAAAGUGCCUUCGAAGAGUCGAGUUGUUUGGGAAUGCAGCUCUAAGUGGGUGGUAAAUUCCAUCUAAAGCUAAAUAUUGGCGAGAGACCGAUAGCGAACAAGUACAGUGAUGGAAAGAUGAAAAGAACUUUGAAAAGAGAGUGAAAAAGUACGUGAAAUUGUUGAAAGGGAAGGGCAUUUGAUCAGACAUGGUGUUUUGCGCCCUCCGCUCCUUGUGGGUGGGGGACUCUCGCAGCUCACUGGGCCAACAUCAGUUUUGGUGGUCGGACAAAUCCGUAGGAAUGUAGCUUACCUCGGUAAGUGUUAUAGCCUGCGGGAAUACGGCCAGCCGGGACUGAGGACUGCGACUUUUGUCAAGGAUGUUGGCAUAAUGGUUAUAUGCCGCCCGUCUUG
rnacentral:rRNA from 1 species